UACGAAGGGGGCUAGCGUUGCUCGGAAUCACUGGGCGUAAAGCGCACGUAGGCGGGUCCUUAAGUCAGGGGUGAAAUCCUGGAGCUCAACUCCAGAACUGCCCUUGAUACUGAGGAUCUCGAGUUCGGGAGAGGUGAGUGGAACUGCGAGUGUAGAGGUGAAAUUCGUAGAUAUUCGCAAGAACACCAGUGGCGAAGGCGGCUCACUGGCCCGAUACUGACGCUGAGGUGCGAAAGCGUGGGGAGCGAACCGG
rnacentral:rRNA from 1 species